rnacentral:rRNA from 1 species
AGAGUUUGAUCAUGGCUCAGAUUGAACGCUGGCGGCAGGCCUAACACAUGCAAGUCGAGCGGAUGAAGAGAGCUUGCUCUCUGAUUCAGCGGCGGACGGGUGAGUAAUGCCUAGGGAUCUGCCUGGUAGUGGGGGACAACGUUUCGAAAGGAACGCUAAUACCGCAUACGUCCUACGGGAGAAAGCAGGGGACCUUCGGGCCUUGCGCAAUCAGAUGAGCCUAGGUCGGAUUAGCUAGUUGGUGAGGUAAUGGCUCACCAAGGCGACGAUCCGUAACUGGUCUGAGAGGAUGAUCAGUCACACUGGAACUGAGACACGGUUCAGACUCCUACGGGAGGCAGCAGUGGGGAAUAUUGGACAAUGGGCGAAAGCCUGAUCCAGCCAUGCCGCGUGUGUGAAGAAGGUCUUCGGAUUGUAAAGCACUUUAAGUUGGGAGGAAGGGCAUGCACCUAAUACGUGUGUGUCUUGACGUUACCGACAGAAUAAGCACCGGCUAACUCUGUGCCAGCAGCCGCGGUAAUACAGAGGGUGCAAGCGUUAAUCGGAAUUACUGGGCGUAAAGCGUGCGCAGGCGGUUCGCUAAGACAGAUGUGAAAUCCCCGGGCUUAACCUGGGAACUGCAUUUGUGACUGGCGGGCUAGAGUAUGGCAGAGGGGGGUAGAAUUCCACGUGUAGCAGUGAAAUGCGUAGAGAUGUGGAGGAAUACCGAUGGCGAAGGCAGCCCCCUGGGCCAAUACUGACGCUCAUGCACGAAAGCGUGGGGAAGCAACAGGAUUAGAUACCCUGGUAGUC